UACGGAGGGUGCAAGCGUUAUCCGGAUUCACUGGGUUUAAAGGGAGCGUAGGUGGCUUUGUAAGUCAGUGGUGAAAUCUUAGAGCUCAACUCUAAAACUGCCAUUGAUACUGCUUAGCUUGAAUCACGUCGAGGUGGAUGGAAUAUUACAUGUAGCGGUGGAAUGCUUAGAUAUGUAAUAGAACACCGAUUGCGAAGGCAGUUCACUAGGCGUGUAUUGACACUGAGGCUCGAAAGCGUGGGGAUCAAACAGG
rnacentral:rRNA from 1 species